AGCGAACGCUGGCGGCAGGCCUAACACAUGCAAGUCGAACGAACCUUUCGGGGUUAGUGGCGGACGGGUGAGUAACACGUGGGAACGUGCCUUUAGGUUCGGAAUAACUUAGGGAAACUUGUGCUAAUACCGAAUGUGCCCUUCGGGGGAAUGAUUAAUCGCCUUUAGAGCGGCCCGCGUCUGAUUAGCUAGUUGGUUGAGGUAAUGGCUCACCAAGGCGACGAUCAGUAGCUGGUCUGAGAGGAUGAUCAGCCACAUUGGGACUGAGACACGGCCCAAACUCCUACGGGAGGCAGCAGUGGGGAAUCUUGCGCAAUGGGCGAGAGCCUGACGCAGCCAUGCCGCGUGAAUGAUGAAGGUCUUAGGAUUGUAAAAUUCUUUCACCGGGGACGAUAAUGACGGUACCUGGAGAAGAAGCCCCGGCUAACUUCGUG
rnacentral:rRNA from 1 species